rnacentral:pre_miRNA from 1 species
CCCACACCCAUGUGUGUAGGACUUCAAAGGAUCACCAUUAAAUUUGGCACAGAUUUUUAGAAAAGUUAUCACAUCGGUGUGAUACUUGAAUUUUUUAGGGAUCUGUGCCAAAGUUAAUGGUGAUCUUUUGGGGUCCUACACACAUAGGUGUGGG